ACUACCACUGGCUGGAUUCCAAUGGAAGCCACACGGGAAGGGAGCUCUUGAUGCAGCCUGCAGCUCACACAGGGUGGAGCAAGAUGGAGGAGGAGUAGGAGACCUGGAUUUCAUCUGGUUCCAAGAAUUCAGCUGGAUAAGGGUCAAACCACUCUGAACACCUGCAAACCCAAUAGGAGAUCAAAGAAAAGAAUAGCAGCAACUCUCUGAACAGAAAAGCGACCAUUUUCUGGAAGGUGUAUGCAUUCUUUUGAUCGCAUCUCCCAAACAAGCAGGAGGCUUUCCAGGUGACAUUUAUCUUCUUGGCACUGACAUCCAGAAUAUAGAGCACGAUGCUACGAACCGGAGCCCCUGGACCGAAGAAGGCCUUCUCUUGUACUAAGUGUACGGAAACGGAGAGGAGCAACAUAGGAGGGAGCUGCCCUUUGCAUCUUUUAAAGAAAACCUGAAGGUUAGCUUUGACACACUUAAGAAGACAAGAUGGUGUUUCCCCUCAGUUAUUUGUCAUAAUUAUUGGACCUGAUUCUCUGAGGUUUUUCCAAGUCACCAUUGUCUGGAGAGAAUUGUGAGUAACCUAGAACAAAAGUUUCCACAAGAUCAUCUGGUCUAGUCCUUGACUUAAGAGAGAUGCACUGUUGAGUUGACCUCUUUAACCUACAGUUGGAGUUAUCUGAUUUUAUCUGUAUUACUUUUCUUUCUGAUGGAAACUUGCUAACUCCCCAUUGUCUCCUUCCCCCCUCACCAUGAUUUCUCUCAACAGGAGUUGACCCCAUUAGCAGGUGUGGAUUUAAGUUAUUUGCCCAUGACAAUUAAUACCUUCUUGAAUUUUCAUAUGUGUCUGGGUCCACCUGCUUAAAGUACUGUUCUUCUUCUAAAAAGACAAUUAAAAUGCUUUGAUUUUUCACCAAAAGAUGAUUUUCACCCAACUUUUUGGAACUCAAAAUAGAAUAACUUCCUUAAGGAGAAAGUGGUCUAUUCCUUGCCUUAAGAGAAGGUAAAUAACCUCCCUUAGGCUUCCCUCUAUUUCCAUACCGCUAUGAAAACCAAUGUUAACAGUUGGUGUGUAUCCCCUUAAUGACUUUUUCCAUGUUUAUACAAGAGUACAGAAACAGAGAGCUGUCAUUUGAUUAAUUUGAUAAAAGUUGAUAUCAUCCUAUACACGACUCCAACGUGCUUUUCUCACUUAACAUGAUCUUAUGACCUUAUAAGCUCUCUAGUGACAAGAGCUCCUUCACUGCCUUUAAAAGUAGCAAAAGAUUCUGUAGUUCAAAUAUUGCCACAAUUUAUUCACUCAUCUUCCCACUGAAGGUCAGAAUUUUGCCUUCUAUGUGAUCACUGUUGGUUGACAAGCACCAUUCCAUGACUAUUGUCCUACCAAGCAUUUUGGGUAACUUGAUUUCCUGCUAUUUCGGCAGAAACUUCAACUCUUUAUCAGAGAAUGGAGAUUUGCUUG